rnacentral:rRNA from 1 species
GACGAACGCUGGCGGCGUGCUUAACACAUGCAAGUCGAACGGAAAGGCCCUGCUCUUGUGGCGUUCUCGAGUGGCGAGCGGGUGAGUAACACGUGAGUAACCUGCCCUUGACUUUGGGAUAACUUCAGGAAACUGGGGCUAAUACCGGAUAGGAGCUCCUGCAGCAUGGUGGGGGUUGGAAAGUUUCGGCGGUUGUGGAUGGACUCGCUGCUUAUCCGCUUGUUGGUGUGGUAGGGGCUUACCAAGGCUGUGACGGGUAGCCGGCCUGAGAGGGUGACCGGCCACAUUGGGACUGAGAGACGGCCCAGACUCCUACGUGAGGCAGCAGUGGGGAAUAUUGCACAAUGGGCGGAAGCCUGAUGCAGCAACGCUGCGUGCGGGAUGACGGCCUUCGGGUUGUAAACCGCUUUCGCCUGUGACGAAGCGUGAGUGACGGUAAUGGGUAAAGAAGCACCGGCUAACUACGUG